rnacentral:rRNA from 1 species
CCUACGGGUGGCAGCAGUGGGGAAUUUUCCGCAAUGGGCGAAAGCCUGACGGAGCAAUACCGCGUGAGGGAUGACGGCCUAUGGGUUGUAAACCUCUUUUCUCAGGGAGGAACUCAAUGACGUGUACCUGAGGAAUAAGCAUCGGCUAACUCCGUGCCAGCAGCCGCGGUAAGACGGAGGAUGCAAGUGUUAUCCGGAAUCACUGGGCGUAAAGCGUCUGUAGGUGGUUUAAUAAGUCAACUGUUAAAUCUUGGAGCUCAACUUCAAAAUCGCAGUCGAAACUAUUAGACUAGAGUAUAGUAGGGGUAAAGGGAAUUUCCAGUGGAGCGGUGAAAUGCGUAGAGAUUGGAAAGAACACCGAUGGCGAAGGCACUUUACUGGGCUAUUACUGACACUCAGAGACGAAAGCUAGGGUAGCAAAUGGGAUUAGAUACCCUUGU